CCUACGGGCGGCAGCAGUGAGGAAUAUUGGUCAAUGGACGAGAGUCUGAACCAGCCAAGUAGCGUGAAGGAUGACUGCCCUAUGGGUUGUAAACUUCUUUUAUAUGGGAAUAAAAUGUUCCACGUGUGGGAGUUUGUAUGUACCAUAUGAAUAAGGAUCGGCUAACUCCGGGCCAGCAGCCGCGGUAAUACGGAGGAUCCGAGCGUUAUCCGGAUUUAGGGGGGUUAAAGGGAGCGUAGGUGGAUUGUUAAGUCAGUUGUGAAAGUUUGCGGCUCAACCGUAAAAUUGCAGUUGAAACUGGCAGUCUUGAGUACAGUAGAGGUGGGCGGAAUUCGUGGUGUAGCGGUGAAAUGCUUAGAUAUCACGAAGAACUCCGAUUGCGAAGGCAGCUCACUGGACUGCAACUGACACUGAGGCUCGAAAGUGUGGGUAUCAAACAGGAUUAGAUACCCUGGUAGUC
rnacentral:rRNA from 1 species